rnacentral:rRNA from 1 species
GAUGAACGCUGGCGGCGUGCCUAAUACAUGCAAGUCGAGCGAACAGACGAGGAGCUUGCUCCUCUGACGUUAGCGGCGGACGGGUGAGUAACACGUGGAUAACCUACCUAUAAGACUGGGAUAACUUCGGGAAACCGGAGCUAAUACCGGAUAAUAUAUUGAACCGCAUGGUUCAAUAGUGAAAGACGGUUUUGCUGUCACUUAUAGAUGGAUCCGCGCCGCAUUAGCUAGUUGGUAAGGUAACGGCUUACCAAGGCAACGAUGCGUAGCCGACCUGAGAGGGUGAUGGGCCACACUGGAACAGAGACAGGGUCCAGACACCGACGGGAGGCAGAAGGAGGGAAUCUUCCGGAAUGGGCGAAAGCCUGACGGAGCAACGCCGCGUGAGUGAGGAAGGUCUUCGGAUCGUAAAACUCUGUGAUGAGGGAAAAACAAAUGUGUAAGUAACUAUGCACGUCUUGACGGUACCUAAUAAGAAAGCCACGGCUAACUACGUG